GCUUCGGUGGCCUAGUGGUUAAAACGUCCACCUAGGAUGCGGGAGGUCGUGGAUUCGAUUCCCGGUCGAGUCA